UUGAUGUUAUGUUAAAAUUCUUGAGCUUAAAUAUAUGGAUGUAUGUAUAUGUGGCCAUAUAAUGGCGUUUUGGUUCAAAGGUUGAAUGAUAAAUUAUAAUAAAGUGAGAUGAUAUGAGAUGCCGAAUGUGAUUUACUAGUAAACAUUAUUGAUAGAAAUAUUGAAUACUUCUACUUGUAUUCAUUAAGCUCAAGAGCAAAAGGGAGCUAAAUCCGAUAAAGGGAAGGAAAAAGUAGUCGAAUAGCCAUCGGAAUCGUUCGACAACAUCCGAGAUUUUGCUCGUUAGCGAUCGGAUUCGGGAUCAUAGAAGUUGAAGUCAACCACACUAUCAAAGCCCUUUUUGGUACUCCUUUAGUUGAGUUCGGAUAUGGCAUGUAUAGGACUACCCUCGGUUAUUUUUAAGUACUUGUGAUGUAUAUGUGUACGGCCAUGCGAAAAUGGUUCGUAAUAGUGGAGUAUGGAAUUAGACCAUUUGUGGUUUGUAAUUAUAUAUGGUUUCAUGA